UAUGUAGGGGGCAAGCGUUGUCCGGAUUUAUUGGGCGUAAAGAGCGUGUAGGCGGCCUGACAGGUCUGCUGUGAAAACUCGAGGCUCAACCUCGAGAUGUCGGCGGAAACCGUCUGGCUAGAGUCCGGAAGAGGAGAGUGGAAUUCCUGGUGUAGCGGUGAAAUGCGCAGAUAUCAGGAAGAACACCUAUGGCGAAGGCAGCUCUCUGGGACGGUACUGACGCUGAGACGCGAAAGCGUGGGGAGCGAACAGG
rnacentral:rRNA from 1 species